rnacentral:rRNA from 1 species
UACCAGCUCUCCGAGUUGUAGGGAUGAUUAUUGGGCUUAAAGCGUCCGUAGCUGGCUUAGCAAGUCUCCUGUUAAAUUCAGCGACCUAAUCGUUGAGCCGCGGGAGAUACUACUAGGCUAGGAGGCGGGAGAGGUCGACGGUACUUUCGGGGCAGGGGUGAAAUCCUAUAAUCCCGGGAGGACCACCAGUGGCGAAGGCUGUCGACUAGAACGCGCUCGACGGUGAGGGACGAAAGCUGGGGGAGCGAACCGGAUUAGAUACCCGGGUAGUCCCAGCUGUAAACUAUGCAGGCUAGGUGUUUGGGCGGCCACGUGCCGCUCUAGUGCCGCAAGGAAGCUGUUAAGCCUGCCGCCGUGGGGAGUACGGCCGCAAGGCUAGAAACUUAAAGGAAUUGGGCGGGGAGCACCACGAAGGGGUGAAGCUUGCGGUUU